UGUAUAAUGGGUCAGCGACUUAUAUUCUGUAGCAAGGUUAACCGAAUAGGGGAGCCGAAGGGAAACCGAGUCUUAACUGGGCGUUAAGUUGCAGGGUAUAGACCCGAAACCCGGUGAUCUAGCCAUGGGCAGGUUGAAGGUUGGGUAACACUAACUGGAGGACCGAACCGACUAAUGUUGAAAAAUUAGCGGAUGACUUGUGGCUGGGGGUGAAAGGCCAAUCAAACCGGGAGAUAGCUGGUUCUCCCCGAAAGCUAUUUAGGUAGCGCCUCGUGAAUUCAUCUCCGGGGGUAGAGCACUGUUUCGGCAAGGGGGUCAUCCCGACUUACCAACCCGAUGCAAACUGCGAAUACCGGAGAAUGUUAUCACGGGAGACACACGGCGGGUGCUAACGUCCGUCGUGAAGAGGGAAACAACCCAGACCGCCAGCUAAGGUCCCAAAGUCAUGGUUAAGUGGGAAACGAUGUGGGAAGGCCCAGACAGCCAGGAUGUUGGCUUAGAAGCAGCCAUCAUUUAAAGAAAGCGUAAUAGCUCACUGGUCGAGUCGGCCUGCGCGGAAGAUGUAACGGGGCUAAACCAUGCACCGAAGCUGCGGCAGCGACACUAUGUGUUGUUGGGUAGGGGAGCGUUCUGUAAGCCUGUGAAGGUGGCCUGUGAGGGUUGCUGGAGGUAUCAGAAGUGCGAAUGCUGACAUAAGUAACGAUAAAGCGGGUGAAAAGCCCGCUCGCCGGAAGACCAAGGGUUCCUGUCCAACGUUAAUCGGGGCAGGGUGAGUCGACCCCUAAGGCGAGGCCGAAAGGCGUAGUCGAUGGGAAACAGGUUAAUAUUCCUGUACUUGGUGUUACUGCGAAGGGGGGACGGAGAAGGCUAUGUUGGCCGGGCGACGGUUGUCCCGGUUUAAGCGUGUAGGCUGGUUUUCCAGGCAAAUCCGGAAAACCAAGGCUGAGGCGUGAUGACGAGGCACUACGGUGCUGAAGCGACAAAUGCCCUGCUUCCAGGAAAAGCCUCUAAGCAUCAGGUAACAUCAAAUCGUACCCCAAACCGACACAGGUGGUCAGGUAGAGAAUACCAAGGCGCUUGAGAGAACUCGGGUGAAGGAACUAGGCAAAAUGGUGCCGUAACUUCGGGAGAAGGCACGCUGAUAUGUAGGUGAAGCGACUUGCUCGUGGAGCUGAAAUCAGUCGAAGAUACCAGCUGGCUGCAACUGUUUAUUAAAAACACAGCACUGUGCAAACACGAAAGUGGACGUAUACGGUGUGACGCCUGCCCGGUGCCGGAAGGUUAAUUGAUGGGGUUAGCGGCAACGCGAAGCUCUUGAUCGAAGCCCCGGUAAACGGCGGCCGUAACUAUAACGGUCCUAAGGUAGCGAAAUUCCUUGUCGGGUAAGUUCCGACCUGCACGAAUGGCGUAAUGAUGGCCAGGCUGUCUCCACCCGAGACUCAGUGAAAUUGAACUCGCUGUGAAGAUGCAGUGUACCCGCGGCAAGACGGAAAGACCCCGUGAACCUUUACUAUAGCUUGACACUGAACAUUGAGCCUUGAUGUGUAGGAUAGGUGGGAGGCUUUGAAGUGUGGACGCCAGUCUGCAUGGAGCCGACCUUGAAAUACCACCCUUUAAUGUUUGAUGUUCUAACGUUGGCCCGUAAUCCGGGUUGCGGACAGUGUCUGGUGGGUAGUUUGACUGGGGCGGUCUCCUCCUAAAGAGUAACGGAGGAGCACGAAGGUUGGCUAAUCCUGGUCGGACAUCAGGAGGUUAGUGCAAUGGCAUAAGCCAGCUUGACUGCGAGCGUGACGGCGCGAGCAGGUGCGAAAGCAGGUCAUAGUGAUCCGGUGGUUCUGAAUGGAAGGGCCAUCGCUCAACGGAUAAAAGGUACUCCGGGGAUAACAGGCUGAUACCGCCCAAGAGUUCAUAUCGACGGCGGUGUUUGGCACCUCGAUGUCGGCUCAUCACAUCCUGGGGCUGAAGUAGGUCCCAAGGGUAUGGCUGUUCGCCAUUUAAAGUGGUACGCGAGCUGGGUUUAGAACGUCGUGAGACAGUUCGGUCCCUAUCUGCCGUGGGCGCUGGAGAACUGAGGGGGGCUGCUCCUAGUACGAGAGGACCGGAGUGGACGCAUCACUGGUGUUCGGGUUGUCAUGCCAAUGGCACUGCCCGGUAGCUAAAUGCGGAAGAGAUAAGUGCUGAAAGCAUCUAAGCACGAAACUUGCCCCGAGAUGAGUUCUCCCUGACUCCUUGAGAGUCCUGAAGGAACGUUGAAG
rnacentral:rRNA from 1 species